UUGCACAGUUCGUAACCUAGCUCAGUACCAAAUCUGAAGUUUGGGUUCCAUUUCUGUGCAAAAGCAAACCUUCCAGUGAGGCAGGGGAGUGUUACCAGUAAUUGUGUUGUCUCCCUGUUCACUCGCUGGGAACAGAC